GCGGGAAUAGCUCAGUUGGUAGAGCACAACCUUGCCAAGGUUGGGGUCGCGAGUUCGAAUCUCGUUUCCCGCUCAA
rnacentral:tRNA from 1 species